rnacentral:rRNA from 1 species
UAGGGAAUAUUGCACAAUGGGCGAAAGCCUGAUGCAGCAACGCCGCGUGCGCGAUGAAGGCCUUCGGGUUGUAAAGCGCUUUUUGGGGAGAUGAGGAAGGACAGUAUCCCCAGAAUAAGGCUCGGCUAACUACGUGCCAGCAGCCGCGGUAACACGUAGGAGCCAAGCGUUAUCCGAAUUCACUGGGCGUAAAGCGCGUGCAGGCGGCUUGGUAAGUUGGAUGUGAAAUCUCCUGGCUCAACUAGGAGAGGCCGUUCAAUACUGUCAAGCUAGAGGUCGGCAGAGGAAAGUGGAAUUCCAGGUGUAGUGGUGAAAUGCGUAGAUAUCUGGAGGAACACCAGUGGCGAAAGCGGCUUUCUGGGCCGCACCUGACGCUCAGACGCGAAAGCUAGGGGAGCAAACG